rnacentral:rRNA from 1 species
UACGUAGGCAGCGAGCGUUGUUCGGAAUUACUGGGCGUAAAGAGUGUGUAGGCGGUGUUCCCAGUCUGUUGUGAAAUCUCCCGGCUUAACUGGGAGGGUGCAGCGGAAACUAGAAUGCUAGAGGGUGGGAGAGGUAAGUGGAAUUCCUGGUGUAGCGGUGAAAUGCGUAGAUAUCAGGAGGAACACCUGUGGUGUAGACAGCUUACUGGACCGCUUCUGACGCUGAGACACGAAAGCGUGGGGAGCGAACAGG